rnacentral:rRNA from 1 species
GGAAUAUUGGUCAAUGGACGAGAGUCUGAACCAGCCAAGUCGCGUGAAGGAAGAAUGGUCUAUGGCUUGUAAACUUCUUUCGUACCAGAGUAAAAUAUAUUACGUGUAAUAUAUUGCAAGUAUCUGACGAAUAAGCAUCGGCUAACUCCGUGCCAGCAGCCGCGGUAAUACGGAGGAUGCGAGCGUUAUCCGGAUUUAUUGGGUUUAAAGGGUGCGUAGGCGGGGAAUUAAGUCAGCGGUGAAAUCUACAGGCUCAACCUGUAAACUGCCGUUGAAACUGUUCUUCUUGAGUAUGGAUGAAGCAGGCGGAAUUAGUGGUGUAGCGGUGAAAUGCUUAGAUAUCACUAAGAACUCCGAUAGCGAAGGCAGCUUGCUAAGGCAUAUCUGACGCUGAUGCACGAAAGUGUGGGUAUCAAACAGGAUUAGAUACCCUGGUAGUCCACACAGUAAACGAUGAUUACUCGUUGUUUGCGAUAUACCGUAAGUAACUAAGCGAAAGCGAUAAGUAAUCCACCUGGGGAGUACGCCGGCAACGGUGAAACUCAAAGGAAUUGACGGGGGCCCGCACAAGCGGAGGAACAUGUGGUUUAAUUCGAUGAUACGCGAGGAACCUUACCCGGGCUUGAAAUGCAAUCGACGUAUGGGGAAACCUGUAUUCCAGCAAUGGCGAUUGUGUAGGUGCUGCAUGGUUGUCGUCAGCUCGUGCCGUGAGGUGUCGGCUUAAGUGCCAUAACGAGCGCAACCCACAUCGGAAGUUACUAACAGGUCAAGCUGAGGACUCUGCCGAGACUGCCGGCGUAAGCUGCGAGGAAGGUGUGGAUGACGUCAAAUCAGCACGGCCCUUACGUCCGGGGCGACACACGUGUUACAAUGGCCGGUACAGCGGGAAGCCACCAAGCGAUUGGGCGCGAAUCCCGAAAACCGGUCCCAGUUCGGAUCGGAGUCUGCAACUCGACUCCGUGAAGCUGGAUUCGCUAGUAAUCGCGCAUCA